UGGGGAAUUUUGGACAAUGGGCGAAAGCCUGAUCCAGCAAUGCCGCGUGUGUGAAGAAGGCCUUCGGGUUGUAAAGCACUUUUGUCCGGAAAGAAAUCCUUGGCUCUAAUACAGUCGGGGGAUGACGGUACCGGAAGAAUAAGCACCGGCUAACUACGUGCCAGCAGCCGCGGUAAUACGUAGGGUGCAAGCGUUAAUCGGAAUUACUGGGCGUAAAGCGUGCGCAGGCGGUUUGCUAAGACCGAUGUGAAAUCCCCGGGCUCAACCUGGGAACUGCAUUGGUGACUGGCAGGCUAGAGUAUGGCAGAGGGGGGUAGAAUUCCACGUGUAGCAGUGAAAAUGCGUAGAGAUGUGGAGGAAUACCGAUGGCGAAGGCAGCCCCCCUGGGCCAAAUACUGACGCUCAUGCACGAAAAGCGUGGGGGAGCAAAACAGGAUUAGAUACCCCUGGUAGUCCACGCCCUAAAACGAUGUCAACUAGUUGUUGGGGAUUCAUUUUCCUUAGUAACGUAGCUAACGCGUGAAGUUGACCGCCUGGGGAGUACGGUCGCAAGAUUAAAACUCAAAGGAAUUGACGGGGUCAUAGCUGUUUCCU
rnacentral:rRNA from 1 species